rnacentral:lncRNA from 1 species
GCUUAGAAAAACAUGUUUUCUAUUUAUUUAAAAAUAAGUUUGUAGUUACUACAUUGCAGUGACAGUAAUUCUUACACAUACAUUCUAGUUUGUAUAAAAGGAUUCAAAGUAUUAUGCAUCAAAACUAACAUAGAAAGUGUCCACAUAACAGUAAAGAAAUUUCCAAUCCAUAUGUACAAAAAGAAAGGGCACUGUUAUCCUGGUGAGAUACUUCAGGUUAUAACAUGAUAAUCUAGAUUUCUGGAAGGAGGAAAAAAAAAACCAAAACCUUGAUAAAGCUAAAGAAUUAUAGUUUUCAAAACUGUUACUCAUUACAUACAACAGAUUUGUGUUUUACAUAAUUCUGUACAAAAUAAGCGUAAUUUUUAAUCUGAAAAUGUGUCAGUUUCAAAAUUAACCUUUCUAGGUCAUUUCCUUGAAGUUGAGCUCCAUUCUAUACAUAUUUAAACAUUAUGACAGAAUUUGAUUCACGCAAGAUCAUUAUCCAGUUGUCCACCACACUUCUGCAGUUAUAGUAUGGUCCAAAAAUGUAACUUCUGUAGGGUGUCAAUGUAUCAGCAAACCAACGCACGCAGUGGUAAGCCCAAAAUAGUACAUGUACAUCAUACAGGCAUGUGUACAUGACCGGUACCUAUAUUUCAUUCUACUCCUAAUUUGUAUGACCUCAUUCUUUGUUCUUUCAGGGCAGAAAUUCAUAGUACAGCACUACCUUCCCUCCCUAAAAUGUCCUGUUUGCAUUAUUUGAAGUGCAUUUCCUGAUGUAUUUAUCUGCAUUAAAAAGGAUCCAAAUGACUACUUGUCUCACUACCUACCUCCUAAAAGCUAAAUUCAUUCACUUUUCUUUUAUUGCAGCAUAUAGGGUUUCUCUUUAGAGUGCCUUGAGGCUGUUAUAACCUUGGGAAAAGGGAGGGGGGAAACUAAUCACCUUUUCCCACUAUUUAAGAUGUCUUUUAAUCUUGCUUUCCUGGCGUGUUUCCUCCUCUAACACACUGUAAAAAUGACACGGCAAAUUCCCACAUUGAAAUUAGCACAAGUGCAAGAGCACCUAGAGGUUAGCUCUAGUUUAAAAGCUACCUGUUAUUCCUCCCAGGCACAGUAGAAAGCAUACUAGCUAUAUUCCUGAUUCGAAACCAGGAAACUACGUAAGCUGUCAGUACCAGAUUGCUAUUGGAAACACAGUGUCAAGCCCUGGCCAAUUUUAUGAAACUCAAUACACCUUCCUCUGCAUAUGAACAAGCCUGUAUGUACAAUAUUUUACAGCAGAAAACUAACAGCCCUUCUAUCAGUUGAAUAUCUAGGUCCCCUUGGAAACCAAUCUGUUACAAGAACUUCAGGGAUAAGAGAAAAUAUAUUAUAUAGCAAUUUUACACAGUUAAUUUGUCUUCAUUAGGUAGUAAACAGAAAAUGAGCUUUUGCUGUUUCUAGGUGAGGUUUUAAAGCCCUCCACCUUCUGGAGCACAGCACCGUGGCCGAGGUGUAUUUAAAUUGCUGUUAAACACUCAACUCUCCAAAAAAAGAAACCCCACCAAAAAAAAAAAAAAGGCAAAAAGAAAAAGCUUUGAAGAACAGCCGUGGACAAAAUAUACCAUUUUAGAGUAGGGUAAGGACUAGGACACAAUGUAAUUAUUGUGCUAUGGCGGUACCUCCACUGACCAGCAAUAUGCUAAAAUUACCUCUGCAAGAUUCGCAUGCUUCAGAGUAAAUGUGAAUGCUGAUGAAAGUGAGCUUAAACACCUGCGACCUCCAAUCUACUCUAAGUACGGGGUGAAAGGGUCCCAUCCAGUUAAGCCUAUUGCUUUUACAGAACCAGUCAACCAUUUAAUAUGUGCCUGAAUUCAAAUUACAUGCUAAAGCAUUUACUUGCUAUCCUUGAUCCAACAAAUGUAAGCAAAAGACUGAACAAUGUGGUGACAAAAUUGUAACAAGCCUGAAGUUACUGAAUGGACAGACUAUUUUUCGUGUUGUAUCUCAUCUUUUUUUUGGUAAGACAAAAGCCUCUGGCACAGAAUCAGAAUUGGUACUUGAAAAAUAUUUGUACAGCAGUACAGAAAGUUGUCUCUACACUACAGUUUAUUUUUUUAUAGAUAUUAAUAUAUCCUACGUGCUGCAUUAGGGUCCUUUAUCAAUUAACAGUUUUACAAAUAUUAAGCCAUAGUAAUAUUUAACUCAACCAACUCAAUCUUACAAGUCUAUCAACAAACUGAUCACAUGUACAAACCGGACACUGUACAAAUAAACAUCUGUAAAUCUAUAUCACAGCAGGCUAAUCACCGGAGGAAGACAUUUUUCUGUAAAGUUGAAUCGCCCAUCGGUGCCAAGUGACAAAGACCUCUAGUUCAAUAUUGACAGUAAUGAACGCUACAGUGGUAAAAUUUAAGUUCAGUCCCCAGAGAACACACUAACAACCAAAACAAAAUGCCUAAAGAGUUAAGUAUGCGGGCACAGGUACAAUGAUUUCUGUUAAACAUUUAGAGCACACUGGCUUCACAGCAACAGAAGUUAUUUCCUCAUUGGUAGUUAGAGAACACACUGUUAUUAAGAUACUACUCAGUGGUAAAUACCAAUUUGAAUGCUUCCCAGUAUAGAGUAGAAAUAUCAGAACAGUAUCCUCAUACCCAUGUCAAGUAUAAAUUAAUUUAAUGAAUAAAACUGCGUUAAUUGCUGCCAGGCCUGUAAGAUCGUUUGCAUGUGUAUGACUAUGAACCUAUUUACAAUGCAAAUGUGAAACAAGCACAUAAGAUUCUGAUACUCCAUUUUCUGAGCCAGUUGUUAGGUACUUGAGAUGGCAUUAUAAAACAUGCUUAUAACCAUAAUUCUUAAAUUAUGUCAGAACACUGACCAAUAGUUCAUUGCUCACAUUUAAAAACUUAAGACUUUGUAAUCAAAGCUCUUUUUCUGUGCUGAUACAGUAUGUCACAACAACCUCAAGUAAUACAUUUUUUCCUGACC